AAAACUCAGAGAGAAGAGUUGUAGGAGCUGAAUGUGUCCCCUUCUCUGCGUCCUGCAUGUGCCUCUUCCUCUCUGAUUCAGCACUGACAAAGUGGAAAACUUGUUCACUGGGACAGGCCAAUCCAUUCAAUAAAUUCAGGCCCUGGCACCUGAGCUAGUCAAUGCAUUUUAAGAUGCGACGAGCAGGACAGACAUUCCCAUCUCAAUUCCCACCAAGAUUUCUGGGACUGACAUGAGUUUGCUGGCUGGUGACAGAGACAUCUUCCCACCUGGAGAGUGUUUCUGUGCCGUACCUUUUCAUUGCUGCUGCCAGCAGCAUAUCCUCUAACCGUGAAAUAAAAAUUCAUCUUGGUACA
rnacentral:lncRNA from 1 species